AGCGAACGCUGGCGGCGUGCCUAACACAUGCAAGUCGAACGUGAAAGGGAGCAAUCCCAAGUAAAGUGGCGUACGGGUGAGUAACACGUAGGUAAUCUACCCCAGAAUCUGGAAUAACCGGCCGAAAGGCUGGCUAAUACUGGAUAUAGCGACGGAAUCCGUAAUUGGGUUUUUCGGGAAAGGUAGCCUGUAAAAAGGCCUUCGUUCUGGGAUGAGCCUGCGUCCCAUCAGCUAGUUGGUGAGGUAAAAGCUUACCAAGGCAAUGACGGGUAGCUGGUCGGAGAGGAGGGACAGCCACACUGGAACUGGAACACGGUCCAGACUCCUACGGGAGGCAGCAGUGGGGAAUCUUGCGCAAUGGACGAAAGUCGGACGCAGCAACGCCGCGUGAGGGAAGAAGGCCGUCGGGUUGUAAAGCUCUGUCGAGUGGGACGAAAAUGCUUGGAGUUCACAGCUCCAGGAACUGACGGUACCACUAAAGGAAGCACCGGCUAACUCCGUG
rnacentral:rRNA from 1 species